UACAGAGGGUGCGAGCGUUAAUCGGAAUUACUGGGCGUAAAGCGUGCGUAGACGGUUAUUUAAGUCGGGUGUGAAAGCCCCGGGCUCAACCUGGGAAUUGCAUUCGAGACUGAAUAGCUAGGGUACGGUAGAGGGAAGUGGAAUUCCGGUGUAGCGGUGAAAUGCGUAGAUAUCGGAAGGAACAUCAGUGGCGAAAGCGACUUCCUGGACCAGUACCGACGUCAGGCACGAAAGCGUGGGGAGCAAACAGG
rnacentral:rRNA from 1 species